AAUAGAUACCCAGGUAGUCCACGCCGUAAACGUUGGGCGCUAGGUGUGGGGGUCCUUCCACGACCUCCGUGCCGCAGCUAACGCAUUAAGCGCCCCGCCUGGGGAGUACGGCCGCAAGGCUAAAACUCAAAGGAAUUGACGGGGGCCCACACAAGCGGCGGAGCAUGCGGAUUAAUUCGAUGCAACGCGAAGAACCUUACCAAGGCUUGACAUGUACAGGAAAGUUCCAGAGAUGGUUCCCCCGCAAGGUCUGUACACAGGUGGUGCAUGGUUGUCGUCAGCUCGUGUCGUGAGAUGUUGGGUUAAGUCCCGCAACGAGCGCAACCCUCGUCUUAUGUUGCCAGCACGUAAUGGUGGGAACUCAUAAGAGACUGCCGGGGUCAACUCGGAGGAAGGUGGGGAUGACGUCAAAUCAUCAUGCCCCUUAUGUCUUGGGCUUCACGCAUGCUACAAUGGCCGGUACAAAGGGCUGCAAUACCGCAAGGUGGAGCGAAUCCCAAAAAGCCGGUCUCAGUUCGGAUUGGGGUCUGCAACUCGACCC
rnacentral:rRNA from 1 species